rnacentral:rRNA from 1 species
AUUGAACGCUGGCGGCAUGCUUUACACAUGCAAGUCGAACGGUAACAGGCCUUCGGGUGCUGACGAGUGGCGAACGGGUGAGUAAUGCAUCGGAACGUACCCAGAGGUGGGGGAUAACGCAGCGAAAGCUGUGCUAAUACCGCAUGUGAUCUGAGGAUGAAAGCGGGGGACCGAGCAGCAAUGUUUGGCCUCGCGCCUUUGGAGCGGCCGAUGUCGGAUUAGCUAGUUGGUGGGGUAAAGGCCUACCAAGGCGACGAUCCGUAGCUGGUCUGAGAGGACGACCAGCCACACUGGGACUGAGACACGGCCCAGACUCCUACGGGAGGCGGCAGUGGGGAAUUUUGGACAAUGGGCGCAAGCCUGAUCCAGCAAUGCCGCGUGCGGGAGGAAGGCCUUCGGGUUGUAAACCGCUUUUGGCAGGAACGAAACGGUGUCCGCUAAUACCGGGCGCUAAUGACGGUACCUGCAGAAUAAGCACCGGCUAACUACGUG